rnacentral:tRNA from 1 species
GGGGGUACAGCUCAGUGGUAGAGCACAUGCUUAGCAUGCAGGAGGUCCUGGGUUCACUUCCCAGUACCCCCA